CAUAGCGACUAUCGUGGCAUAUCAAUAAGCGGAGGAAAAGAAACUAACAAGGAUUCCCCUAGUAACGGCGAGUGAAGCGGGAAGAGCUCAAAUUUGAAAUCUUCAAGGUUUGACCUUGACGAAUUGUAGUUUAAAGAAGUGUUUUCGGUUAGAGGAGUAGUAAAAGUUCUUUGGAAUAGGACAUCAUAGAGGGUGAGAAUCCCGUAUUUGACUAUUCUUUCUAGCUUUGUGAUACACUUUCAAAGAGUCGGAUUGUUUGGGAAUGCAGUCCAAAAUGGGUGGUAAAUUUCAUCUAAAGCUAAAUAUUGGCGAGAGACCGAUAGCGAACAAGUACCGUGAGGGAAAGAUGAAAAGAACUUUGAAAAGAGAGUUAAACAGUACGUGAAAUUGUCAAAAGGGAAGCGUUUGACACCAGUGUUGUUUUUCCGAAAAUCAAUUAAAAAUUGAUUCAUGCUAGGUUGUAUUGACCUCAUCAGCUUGCAAUUUAGUUUUGGGUCUCUUUUUGAUGCACUUUUCGGUUAACAAGUCAACAUCAAUUUCCUUUGCUGUAAAAAGGUUAAGAGGAAGGUGGCUUUACUUUCAGGUGAAGUGUUUAUAGCCUUUUAUCUCUGCAGUCGGGGAGAUUGAGGUCUGCAGCGUAGAUCCUUCGGGGUUAGAUACAUUUAUGCUAAGUUAUAGCUUUUCAUAGACAACUUGUUGACUAUGUUAGUCAUUGUAGAUUUACUCGUCAGAUGCUAUUUUACCUACGCUUAGGAUGUUGAUAGUCACAGCGUGUAC
rnacentral:rRNA from 1 species